GGAAUGCGCAGUUGUCAUUGAAGAACACAGAGGACAUAGAUUGGUCUACGGGUUCCUCAACCACCCUUACGCUGUAUUUAGCGUCUCUCUACUACUGAAACACUCUUUUCUCAUCUGUUCACCACUUACUCGCUGUUCACCAGCAUCUCAGGAACCAGUGCAGCUACCAUGGAGAACGUGGCAAUAUUUGACUCACCUGGAAAGGGGAGGGGUCUGAAGGCUACCAAGGAGUUUUGGGCUGGAGAUGUAAUUUUUUCUGAGCCUAGUCUUGCAGCUGUUGUGUUUGACAGUCUAGCAGAGCGUAUUUGUCACAGCUGUUUCCGCAGACAAGACAAGCUACAGAGGUGCGGCCAGUGCAAAUUUGCUCAUUAUUGUGACCGAACCUGCCAGCGUGCCGGCUGGGCUGAACACAAGCAAGAAUGUGGUGCCAUCAAAGCUUAUGGCAAAGCGCCGAAUGAGAACAUCCGCUUGGUGGCCCGCAUCAUGUGGCGCCUCGACAAAGAGGGGAGUGUGGUGUCUGACAUGCAGCUGAUCACGCUGGAGGAGCUGGAGGACCACAUUGCUGACAUGCAAGAGGAUGAAUUGAAGGAGUUCAAAGUGGACAUCCACAACUUCCUGGACUACUGGCCCCGUAACAGCAAGCAGCACACGAUUGACGUCAUCUCACAUCUUUUUGGAGUGGUUAACUGUAACGGUUUCACUGUGAGCGACCAGAGGGGCCUUCAGGCAGUAGGAGUUGGUCUUUUCCCAAACUUGUGUCUAGUGAAUCAUGACUGCUGGCCAAACUGCACUGUGAUCCUCAACCAUGGCAAUCAAUCGGCUGUGAAUACUAUGUUUCAUUCUCAACAGAGGAUUGAGCUUCGUUCUCUAGGUAAAAUCGCAGAGGGAGAGGAGCUGACAGUCGCAUAUGUGGACUUCUUGAAUUUGUCAGAGGAGAGACAAAGACUGCUGAAAACACAAUACUUCUUUGACUGCACAUGUGAGCACUGCAAGAACCACAUCAAAGAUGACUUGAAGUUGGGGGGAAAGGAAGAGAACGGAGUCAAGCCUUCAGAGGAACAAGUGAAAGAGGCAACAGAUUAUUGCUUUCAAAUGCUGGAGAAGAUGGACAAGGCUCGAUUGAAUGGUGAAUACCAUGAGGUGGUAAAAAUCUGCAGGGAGUGCAUAGAGAAAACAGAGCCGGUUUUGGCUGACACUCACAUCUACCUGCUGCGGAUGUGGAGCACAUUAAGUGAGGUGCAAGCUUACCUGCAGUACUUUAAUGAUGCUGCAGACUACGCACGCAAAAUGGUGGAGGGAUACGUAAAACUGUACCACCCAAACAAUGCUGCUCUUGGUAUGGCAGCUAUGAGAGCAGGAGUGACUCACUGGCAAGCUGGGGAGAUAGAGGUUGGCCACGGGAUGAUCUGCAAGGCCUAUGCCAUUCUCAUGGUCACCCACGGCCCAACACAUCCCAUCACCAAGGACCUGGAGGCGAUGCGUAUGCAGACAGAGAUGGAGCUGAGGAUGUUCAAGCAGAAUGAGUAUGUUUACCACAGUAUGAGAGAGGCAGCUCUGAAGAACAGACCAAUGACCAUGAUGCACGAACCCAAGUCUGUAGAGGAGGGAAUCAAGAACCUCUUCCACCGGAGGAAGUAAUCACAGGGAUGCAGUCAAGAAAACCAUCCUGUUUACUGUUAACAGCUUUUUGAGUGCUGGUGUUCAUGUCUACACGUUGAGUCACAUGACCAUGUUCUGUUUCACUAACUUUUGUAGUUAUGCUUUAUUAAAAAUUUGUUGAACUACAGAAAUGUACCAUAAUAUAUAUUUUGUAAUAUGCAGUGCAAGCAAGCACCUGUUGCUCAUCAAUACUUCAGCCAGUCUCCCUGAUGUCAGAUCAAUUUUAACCAGGCAGAUCCAGCCCACUUCACAUCCAGCAGAGCUCAGAGACGAUCCACCACCACAGAUAAGGACAGACAGAGCAAUAAAAAAGGUACAAGGUGACUAGAUUAAAGUUAGGUAACCUUAAUGCAGAGGGCAAAAUAGUAUAAGUGUGACAGUAUUUUGAAGUCAAGUCACUUGUGAUCCAUCCAUAGAAAAUGUGUGUAAUGAUCUUAAAAGUCUUUCUCAUUUGAUGUCACACUAAUAUAUGUUGACGUUGCAUGAAUGUGAACCCCAAAGACGGCUGACUGGACAAAAUGUUGAUCAGGUUUCAGUUUGCUGCUUUCUCUCUUCCUUACUUCUCAUUUUCUGUUCCUUCUUUUCAUUCUUUUUUUGUGUUUUCCUCCCUUUUGUCUUUCCUUUUAGCCGAUUCCUUCACAACUUUCCUUCUGUCCUUUGUUCUAACUUUUUACACAUUUUUUCCCUUUUCUUUUUCUAUGUAAAAAUAAUGAAGAGGGAGUUUGUCUUUUUAAAGUUUGCCUGCGAGCAAUGGGGGGCAUAUCAGUGGACUAUUUCCUCCUUAUAUUAUAUAAAACAGGAAAACACAGAUAACAUUUCUACGGGGGAAAAAAAGAAAUAAAAAUUUUACUCAUGCCAAUAAAAUAAUUGUUGAAAACUUUAGAAAAUAACAGUUAAGAUAGGUUGUUUUUGAAUUUAGGUUAACAAGAAAUGUAGGUAGUUUUCCACCACAAUUUCCAUGUUAUGUUCUUUAUGCUGCUGUCAUAAAAGCUUAUUUUAAAUGCA